rnacentral:rRNA from 1 species
UACUACCGAAGCUACGGCAUCAGUAAUGAUGGGUAGGGGAGCUUCCCAUACGGGUUGAAGCAUGACCGUAAGGACAUGUGGACAGUAUGGGAGUGGGAAUGUUGGCAUGAGUAGCGAGAUGUGGGUGGGAAUCCCACAGGCCGUAAACCCAAGGUUUCCAGGGGAAGGUUCGUCCGCCCUGGGUUAGUCGGGACCUAAGCUGAGGCCGAAAGGCGUAGGUGAU